rnacentral:rRNA from 1 species
UAAGCAGAAUGUGAAAUCGUAAGGCUCAACCUUACAACUGUAUUUUGAACUGAUAAGCUAGAGCAUUAGAGAGGUAGCUGGAAUUCCCGGUGUAGGAGUGAAAUCCGUAGAUAUCGGGAGGAACACCAAUGGCGUAGGCAGGCUACUGGCUAAUUGCUGACACUGAGGCACGAAAGCGUGGGGAGCGAACUGGAUUAGAUACCCAGGUAGUCCACGCCGUAAACGAUGGAUGUUA